GUGCGGAGGAGGAGCAUCAGUCACUAGUGCUGUAUUUGCCACUGGUUGUUUAUGUAUCAUUGGUAUUUGGUAAUAUAUAGGAAUGUAAGCUAAGGAGCCAGCCCAUCUUUGGUUCAGUAUAUGAUUUUGGUGCUAGAGAUUACUACAAGGCUGCGACUUCCUCCCCAAACCCCCCUUUGCAGUUACUCCAUCUUAACUGGACCUUAUCGCACUAAAUACUAUCCAACAACAUCAACAAAUCUACAGAUUGCUGUAUUAAAAGCCUCAGACUUGCUAUCAACGCUAAUGGAGAUGGCAUACAUGUGGGAAUAGAGCAUUAUGUAUCGUCUCUAUCGGCACUAUAUACAAUUAGAAUCCCCCAUGCAGGCCCUGAUUACCAAAGCACCAAUGGAUUAUAUGAGCCUUUAUGCUACAAAACAUUCAGCACCUGGCGCAACUCCUGGUCAUUCAGAAACAAAGCCUAUACCUAUACCAACACAGGCUUGGAUUUGCACUGGGAGCAAUGUGAAGAAUGGCAAAAACAAGAGGCCUUCCCUGCUAACUCUUAAUAUAAGUAGCACAACAAAGUAAAUGAUCCCGACACCCUGCUUAUACAUCUGCAUACCUAUGUCUCUACUAAACCACCAUUUCUGGGUCCUGCUUCUACCGGACAGUUGGGAGUCCCGAGGAGAGUGGAUUCGACCUUGAUGCACACAAAGCUUCAAUAUGCACAUGUAAGGGCCACCUGGAUCUUUACAGCCAUCCAGACUGUGCCCUCCUAGAUUAGGAGAACUAUUGAAGAUCAAGUUCUCACUGACAGGCAUUGCCAACCCACUGCUCUAAGUACUGAAGUUGAUACGAUGUAGCCUCUGAGCCGCCUGGCUGAUACCAAGCAGAGACUUUCUAGGUUUUUAGAUAAGCCUCAUUCUCAACCUUACAAAGCACCACAUAUCUUACAAAAGCCGCAUAGUCCGUGACCUAUCAAAGAUCCUACGCAACAGAUCCCGAUGAGUAUCCACCUUACUCCUAUUGUGGAAAUAUCUAUGAGUCUAGAAUAGGUUAAUUUGGAAUCUCUUAAUACUGUCAUAUGCAGCAUAUAUUUUACUUGCAUUAAUGUACAAUAAUGAAAAUCAAUCCGCUUCUAUGUUAUUUGACUAUGUUGAUAUUCUCUAAUAAACCAAAUUUUUCUUUGAA